rnacentral:rRNA from 1 species
UACGUAGGGUGCAAGCGUUAAUCGGAAUUACUGGGCGUAAAGCGUGCGCAGGCGGUUGUGCAAGACAGGUGUGAAAUCCCCGGGCUUAACCUGGGAACUGCAUUUGUGACUGCAUAGCUAGAGUCUGUCAGAGGGGGGUGGAAUUCCACGUGUAGCAGUGAAAUGCGUAGAGAUGUGGAGGAACACCGAUGGCGAAGGCAGCCCCCUGGGAUAAGACUGACGCUCAUGUACGAAAGCGUGGGGAGCAAACAGG